rnacentral:tRNA from 1 species
AGAAAGUAGUAUAAUGGAAGAACGAAGGGUUUUGAGCUCUUUGGUGUAGGUUCGAAUCCUGUUUUUCUA